GCGCUCCUAGCUCAAUUGGAUAGAGCAUCGGACUUCGAAUCCGAGGGUUGCAGGUUCGAGUCCUGCGGAGCGCGCCA
rnacentral:tRNA from 1 species